GAUAAUACGUUGAUGAGAAGAGUAAAUUGUGGAGUAUUUCAGAGAGGAAUACAGUAGCUGAAAGUAUUCUAAUGCAGAAGCAAUUGAAGACUACCUCGGAGUGGCCCUAAUCCGGCCCGGUGAUUCCGUUACCAUCGAAUGAAGCCGGGAUAUCAAAGCAUAGCUUUUAUGUCCAAUAAGGGUGGAACCGCGAGUGAUACUCGUCCCUUUC
rnacentral:ncRNA from 1 species